rnacentral:lncRNA from 1 species
CUUGGUGUCCCUUGUGUGUGGAGGAGAUGGGCCAAGCCAGGCUGAGCAGGGCAAAGUUCUUUGGCUGAGAAGAGGAGGAGGUGGCUUGACAAGAAGAAGCAUUUUCUGCCACCUCUUUGCAAGAGGCUGUGGUUUUAAGGAAAGCAAUUUCUUGCAGAAGCAGAACAAAGAGCUGAGACGUACUGGAUUAGAUGAUUUGGAUACACCAAAACAGAGGAAACCUGAGCAGGAAAAACUCUGGGGAAAGAGGUCUUUAAACAGCAAAACAAGCCCCCAAAAAAGAAGAAGAGAGGCGGGGGAUGGACAGAGAGGGAUGUGGACAACCAUACAGAAUAAGAAGACGCCACACGUGGAGGGAGGCGAAGCCACGGACUUCUAGAAGGAGAAGGGAGGAGACAGAUCAACAGCAUCCUUCUCCUUAUGGUGUCCACAGCAAAGAGCGAGCAGGUUCUUCCACAAAGCCUGUGGGACGUGCUGGGCUGCCGAGGCCAGGAGGAGGUGGGUGUGUGGUGGGGAAGGAGCUCCUGGGCUGCAGAAGAGGCGUGGGGUGGGCUGGGGGAGAGGAGCAGCAUGACGGCAGGGCGGUGAUGGACGAGCCACAGCACAGGAGCCGGGGCUCUGGGAACAUGUGAGGGGCUGCAGCUCCGGAGGCUUCGCUCUGCAAGAAUUGAUACCAGAUGAGUCAGCCGUACAAAUGUGAUACAGAUCACAUUAUGGGCAUGUGACUACUUCCACCAAAUUAGAUACAGCACAUGAUGCAGCGCUUGUGCCAGCUUUGCUCGGGCUGUUGAAAGACAGACAAUAAGGAUGAAUAGUCUUAAAGACAGAGCGGAGCAGCCAGACACCACCUCUUCGGAGAUCUUCUCUGCAGGCUUAACCCAUCCUAAAUGAUGAGGCAAGCCCCAGUCUGCCACGUUAGGAUGAACUGGACCAUCACAGGGCCAUGGCAUUUUCCAUUCAGUAGCUGGAAACCCAGAGCCAGAAGCACCGGGAGCAGCCCGUGCAGGGGACACGCAGUCCUGCUGGAGGGGCUCUGCUCCAGCAGCUGGACGAAGAAGAGAAAAGGAAAGGCAUGCAUUCCAUCCAAGGAUUGUGGCCAUGCUGUUGGCGCUUGCUGUGUGGCAGCGACUACACCACAAACUGGCCGUGACCCACAGGUGGAAGUGGGCAAAGGGACUGGGGAGCUUCUCCCAGACAGGGCUUGGCUCCUGCCCCCCGGCCUGCCUCUAGGCACAGCUUUUCUCCUGAGGCCAUCAAGGCUCAGGUGCCCCAGGAGGUUGUGCAGCCCCCAUCUCUGCAGGCUUUCCUGGCCCACCUGCAUGAAGCCCUGCUCUGACCUUCCCCUCUGUUCCCGUAGACUCGGGCUCUCCCGAGGUCCUUCCCACCUGAAUUAUCCUCUGAGCCUGUAG